GGAAGGAUCAUUACCUAGAGUUGUAGGCUUUGCCUGCUAUCUCUUACCCAUGUCUUUUGAGUACCUUCGUUUCCUCGGCGGGUCCGCCCGCCGAUUGGACACAUUUAAACCCUUUGUAGUUGCAAUCAGCGUCUGAAAAACUUUAAUAGUUACAACUUUCAACAACGGAUCUCUUGGUUCUGGCAUCGAUGAAGAACGCAGCGAAAUGCGAUAAGUAGUGUGAAUUGCAGAAUUCAGUGAAUCAUCGAAUCUUUGAACGCACAUUGCGCCCCUUGGUAUUCCAUGGGGCAUGCCUGUUCGAGCGUCAUUUGUACCUUCAAGCUUUGCUUGGUGUUGGGUGUUUGUCUCGCCUCUGCGCGCAGACUCGCCUCAAAACAAUUGGCAGCCGGCGUAUUGAUUUCGGAGCGCAGUACAUCUCGCGCUUUGCACUCAUAACGACGACGUCCAAAAAGUACAUUUUUUACACUCUUGACCUCGGAUCAGGUAGGGAUACCCGCUGAACUUAAGCAUAUCAAUAAGCGGAGGAAAAGAAACCAACAGGGAUUGCCCUAGUAACGGCGAGUGAAGCGGCAACAGCUCAAAUUUGAAAUCUGGCGUCUUCGGCGUCCGAGUUGUAAUUUGCAGAGGGCGCUUUGGCAUUGGCAGCGGUCCAAGUUCCUUGGAACAGGACGUCACAGAGGGUGAGAAUCCCGUACGUGGUCGCUAGCCUUUACCGUGUAAAGCCCCUUCGACGAGUCGAGUUGUUUGGGAAUGCAGCUCUAAAUGGGAGGUAAAUUUCUUCUAAAGCUAAAUACUGGCCAGAGACCGAUAGCGCACAAGUAGAGUGAUCGAAAGAUGAAAAGCACUUUGGAAAGAGAGUUAAAAAGCACGUGAAAUUGUUGAAAGGGAAGCGCUUGCAGCCAGACUUGCCUGUAGUUGCUCAUCCGGGUUUCUACCCGGUGCACUCUUCUAUAGGCAGGCCAGCAUCAGUUUGGGCGGUUGGAUAAAGGUCUCUGUCAUGUACCUCCUUUCGGGGAGAACUUAUAGGGGAGACGACAUGCAACCAGCCCGGACUGAGGUCCGCGCAUCUGCUAGGAUGCUGGCGUAAUGGCUGUAAGCGGCCCGUCUUGAAACACGGACCAAGGAGUCUAACAUCUAUGCGAGUGUUUGGGUGUCAAGCCCGAACGCGUAAUGAAAGUGAACGGAGGUGGGAACCUUUCGGGGUGCACCAUCGACCGAUCCUGAUGUCUUCGGAUGGAUUUGAGUAAGAGCAUAGCUGUUGGGACCCGAAAGAUGGUGAACUAUGCUUGAAUAGGGUGAAGCCAGAGGAAACUCUGGUGGAGGCUCGCAGCGGUUCUGACGUGCAAAUCGAUCGUCAAAUUUGGGCAUAGGGGCGAAAGACUAAUCGAACUAUCUAGUAGCUGGUUCCUGC
rnacentral:misc_RNA from 2 species